AUUGAACGCUGGCGGCAGGCCUAACACAUGCAAGUCGGACGAGCGGCGGACGGGUGAGUAAUGUAUGGGAAUCUACCUGAUGGAGGGGGAUAACUACUGGAAACGGUAGCUAAUACCGCGUACCAUAGGAUGAGCCCAUAUGGGAUUAGGUAGUAGGUGAGGUAACGGCUCACCUAGGCGACGAUCCCUAGCUGGUCUGAGAGGAUGACCAGCCACACUGGGACUGAGACACGGCCCAGACUCCUACGGGAGGCAGCAGUGGGGAAUAUUGCACAAUGGGGGCAAGCCUGACGCAGCCAUGCCGCGGGUAUGAAGAAGGCCUUCGGGUUGUAAAGUACUUUCAGUCGGGAGGCGUUACCGACAGAAGAAGCACCGGCUAACUCCGUGCCAGCAGCCGCGGUAAUUC
rnacentral:rRNA from 1 species